rnacentral:lncRNA from 1 species
AUGCCCAAUGGCCAAACAAUAAAGUGUCACCAGCCAGAGGCCUAUAAAUAUCUGGGCAUACUACAGCUGGACAACAUCAAGCAUGAACAUGUGAAAACUGUGGUCAGCAAAGAAUACACACAAAGGGUCAGAAAAAUUCUCAAAAGCAAGCUCAAUGGGGGCAACACCAUCAAGGCCAUAAACACCUGGGCCAUACCUGUCAUAAGAUAUACUGCUGGCAUUAUAAAUUGGACACAGAUGGAACUGGACAAUUUGGACAGAAAAACAAGAAAACUCAUGACCAUUCAUCAUUCACUGCACCCUCGCAGUGAUGUUGACCGGCUAUAUCUGCCUAGAAGAUCAGGGGGCAGAGGACUCUUACAAGUAAAGCAAGCAGUCAAAGAAGAAGAACAUGCCCUAGCAGAAUAUGUCAAGCAAAGUGAAGAACCUACUUUGAUUGAAGUCAAAAAUCAGAAACUCCUCAAAACACAGCAGACAAAAAACCAGUACAAGAAAACCGCACUACAAACUAGAGCUGACAGCUGGCACAACAAAACACUGCAUGGAAAGUUCCUUGACAAAAUUGAAGGAAAAGCUGAUAAGGAGAAGACCUGGCUCUGGCUCACGAAUGGGACCCUGAAGAAGGAGACAGAAGGCCUGAUCCUUGCAGCCCAGGAGCAAGCCAUCAGAACAAAUGCAAUUAAGGCCAAGAUUGAAAAAUCAGCUGAUGACCCAAAGUGCAGACUGUGCAAGGAAACCGAUGAAACCAUUGAUCAUAUCCUCAGCUGCUGUAAGAAAAUCGCACAGACAGACUACAAACAGAGGCACAACUAUGUGGCCCAAAUGAUUCAUUGGAACUUAUGCCUCAAGUACCACCUGCCAGCAGCAAAGAACUGGUGGGAUCACAAACCUGCAAAAGUAUUGGAAAAUGAACAUGCAAAGAUACUGUGGGACUUCCGAAUCCAGACUGACAAAGUUCUGGAACACAACACACCAGACAUCACAGUUGUGGAAAAGAAAAAGGUUUGGAUCAUUGAUGUUGCCAUCCCAGGUGACAGUCGCAUAGAUGAAAAACAACAGGAAAAACUCAGCCGCUAUCAGGACCUCAAGAUUGAACUUCAAAGACUCUGGCAGAAACCAGUACAGGUGGUCCCGGUGGUGAUGGGCACACUGGGUGCCGUGCCAAAAGAUCUCAGCCGGCAUUUGGAAACAAUAGACAUCGACAAAAUCACCAUCUGCCAACUGCAAAAGGCCACCCUACUGGGAUCUGCGCGCAUCAUCAGAAAAUACAUCACACAGUCCUAG